UUUUUAUCAAUUGGUUGCCAUACUCCAUCGCCACAGCACUGAUGACUCUCAUCGAUAUCCCGUUGUUGUCGACCAAUACGGAAGCGAGCACAACAAUAAGCAAAGAAGCAAUCAACACCAAACUCAUAAAAAAUAAAACAAACAUAAUAAGAAAACAAAACAAUUAGCAUGCAGUAAAUUGGAGAAAGCCUUCGAAAUAAAACAAGAGCGUUGAUCAUCCAAGCACUACUAUAAAAGGAAGGCAUUCAGAGCUCAGCUAAAUAAUGAUAUAUGGGAGCGGAAAUCGCCAGACGUAACAGCACGAUCUCGGGAAUCUAAUGCUACUGAAAUCAAACCAUCUUUGGAGUCAUAUAAAUACCCUUAAGUAAAUUAAAUUUAUCGAGUAAAUCUCUCAUUGUAGAAAACUAGAACAUGCAAAAUAGAAGUCGUCCACAAUCGACAAGGAAAAUUAGAGAUAGAAGUUAAAAAAAUAAUUAUAAAUUUAACAAAAUCACAAAAUGUAAAAAAUCACCAAUCACAAAAUAACUCAGCAAAUUGUAGGCAAAGUCGAGGAAGUUACCAAACUCAAUCAUGAUGAGUAAUGAUAAUUUGCACAAUAUCAAAAUAAAAAAGAAAAAAUAAAUAAAAAGAUGUCAAUGAAUCAAAUCAUUUGAUGACAAAGCCUAAAUCAUUCCAAAUCCUGAAUUCCAAAAUAGAAGUGACUGUGGUCCAUAUACCACACCAAAUUGCACUCCUUUUCAUCUCACUCUCUUCUAUUUUCGUUUUCCAAGUCCAUCUGCUAU
rnacentral:lncRNA from 1 species